UGGGGAAUAUUGGACAAUGGGCGCAAGCCUGAUCCAGCCAUGCCGCGUGAGUGAUGAAGGCCCUAGGGUUGUAAAGCUCUUUCACCGGUGAAGAUAAUGACGGUAACCGGAGAAGAAGCCCCGGCUAACUUCGUGCCAGCAGCCGCGGUAAUACGAAGGGGGCUAGCGUUGUUCGGAUUUACUGGGCGUAAAGCGCACGUAGGCGGUCUUUUAAGUCAGGGGUGAAAUCCUGGGGCUCAACCCCGGAACUGCCUUUGAUAAUGGAAGUCUUGAGUAUGGUAGGGGUGAGUGGGAUUCCGAGUGUAGAGGUGAAAUUCGUAGAUAUUCGGAGGAACAACAGUGGCGAAGGCGGCUCACUGGACCAUUACUGACGCUGAGGUGCGAAAGCGUGGGGAGCAAACAGG
rnacentral:rRNA from 1 species